rnacentral:pre_miRNA from 1 species
AAUACUUGGGUUUCCGUGUCCAACAUUUGACCGCCCGUCUUAUUUGAAAAACAUAUAAAAAAAAUUAAAAAAAUAAGUCACGCAUAAAGUAUUAAUUAUGUUUUAUCAUCUAACAACAAUAAAAAUACUAAUUAUAAAAAAAUUUCAUAUAAGACAGACAAUCAAACGUUGAACACGGAAACCCAGGGUUUAUCUUUUU